rnacentral:rRNA from 1 species
AGAAUCAACGCUGGCGGCGUGCCUAACACAUGCAAGUCGCACGAGAAAGGGGAGCAAUCCCUGAGUAAAGUGGCGCACGGGUGAGUAACACGUGAAUGAUCUACCUCCGAGUGGGGAAUAACCAAAGAAAUUUUGGCUAAUACCGCAUAACACUUACGGGUCAAAGCAGCAAUGCGCUUGGAGAGGAGUUCGCGGCAGAUUAGCUAGUUGGCGGGGUAAUGGCCCACCAAGGCGAUGAUCUGUA